GAUGAACGCUGGCGGCGUGCCUAAUACAUGCAAGUCGAGCGAAGCGGGGACGGGUGAGUAACACGUGGAUAACCUCCUAUAAGACUGGUAUAACUUCGGGAAACCGGAGCUAAACCGGAUACUUAUAUCUGGAUCCGCGCUGCAUUAGCUAGUUGGGAAGGUAACGGCUUACCAAGGCAACGAUUCAUAGCCGACCUGAGAGGGGGAUCGGCCACACGGGAACUGAGAAACGGACCAGACUCCUAAGGGAGGAAGGAGUAGGGAAUCUUCCGCAAUGGGCGAAAGCCUGAAGGAGCAACGCGACGUGAGUGAGGAAGGUAUGCGGAACGUAAAACUAUGUUAUUAGGGAAGCGGUACCUAAUCAGAAAGCCACGGCUAACUACGGGCAAGCAGCCGAGGUAAUAC
rnacentral:rRNA from 1 species